ACGGUUAGGAUAAUUGCCUUC
rnacentral:siRNA from 1 species